UGCCGCGUGGAUGAUGAAGGCCUUAGGGUUGUAAAAUCCUUUCAACGGGGACGAUAAUGACGGUACCCGUAGAAUAAGCCCCGGCUAACUUCNUGCCANCAGCCGCGGUAAUACNAAGGGGGCUAGCGUUGCUCGGAAUUACUGGGCGUAAAGCGCACGUANGCGGAUAUUUAAGUCGGAGGUGAAAGCCCAGGGCUCAACCCUGGAACUGCCCUCNAUACUGGGUAUCUGGACCAAAGUAGAGGUAAGUGGAAUUCCGAGUGUANAGGUGAAAUUCNUAUAUAUUCGGAGGAACACCANUGGCGAANGCGACUUACUGNACUUUUGGUGACGCUGANGUGCNAAAGCNUGGGGAGCANACAGGAUUANAUACCCUGGUAGUCCACGCCNUAAACNAUGAAUGCUAGUUGUCANCACGCAUGCGUGUUGGUGACGCAGCUAACGCAUUAUGCAUUCCGCCUGGNNAGUACGGCCGCNAGGUUAAAACUCAAAGGAAUUGACGG
rnacentral:rRNA from 1 species